GACGAACGCUGGCGGCGCGCCUAACACAUGCAAGUCGAACGAGCGAGAGAGAGCUUGCUUUCUCGAGCGAGUGGCGAACGGGUGAGUAACGCGUGAGGAACCUGCCUCAAAGAGGGGGACAACAGUUGGAAACGACUGCUAAUACCGCAUAAGCCCACGACCCGGCAUCGGGUCGAGGGAAAAGGAGCAAUCCGCUUUGAGAUGGCCUCGCGUCCGAUUAGCUAGUUGGUGAGGUAACGGCCCACCCAGGCGACGACCGGUAGCCGGACUGAGAGGUUGAACGGCCACAUUGGGACUGAGACACGGCCCAGACUCCUACGGGAGGCAGCAGUGGGGAAUAUUGCACAAUGGGGGGAACCCUGAUGCAGCGACGCCGCGUGGAGGAAGAAGGUCUUCGGAUUGUAAACUCCUGUUGUUGAGGAAGAUAAUGACGGUACUCAACAAGGAAGUGACGGCUAACUACGUG
rnacentral:rRNA from 1 species